AGUGAACGCUGGCGGUAGGCCUAACACAUGCAAGUCGAACGGCAGCACAGUAAGAGCUUGCUCUUACGGGUGGCGAGUGGCGGACGGGUGAGGAAUACAUCGGAAUCUACUUUUUCGUGGGGGAUAACGUAGGGAAACUUACGCUAAUACCGCAUACGACCUACGGGUGAAAGCAGGGGAUCUUCGGACCUUGCGCGAUUGAAUGAGCCGAUGUCGGAUUAGCUAGUUGGCGGGGUAAAGGCCCACCAAGUCGGCGAUCCGUAGCUGGUGUGAGAGGAUGAUAAGCCGCACGGGAACUGAGACACGGUCCAGACUCCUACGGGAGGCAGCAGUGGGGAAUAUUGGACAAUGGGCGCAAGCCUGAUCCAGCCAUACCGCGUGGGUGAAGAAGGCCUUCGGGUUGUAAAGCCCUUUUGUUGGGAAAGAAAAGCAGCAGGUUAAUACCCCGCUGUUCUGACGGUACCCAAAGAAUAAGCACCGGCUAACUUCGUG
rnacentral:rRNA from 1 species